ensembl:lncRNA
CAAGAGAUUGCCGUGGAAGAGCCUGUUGUCCGUAUAUUUAUAUAUUUCCGAAAUCACAUUGUAGUGACGUGUACUGAACACAAUAUAUUAUAUAAUGUAAACAACUACCUGAGAAACAGCAGAUACAGCAGAUAAAUUAAUUAUAGGCCAUUACUUUUGUAUCGUUUAUUGCAUUUAUGGAGGGAGAGGUGUAUGCUGGGUAAUGGCACAGCUAGCGACCGGGUGACUUUAUUCACCCGCUUCGGCUGUUAUCAGUCCAUACAAUGGGCGUUAUUAGCAGAAAUCAGUCCCAUAGAUAUGGGCCAUCAUGGGCCAUCCACCUGCUAGAUUGUUCAGAAGGUUGUUAUCAUCCAUCCAGAUGGAGGAUCACUAACAGGAGCGUGGGAAGACUCCAGAAUCCACUCUGGCUGGAAUCCGGUGGAUACAGCAGUGUUACAGAACAGUUCGCCACAGUCGCUGUCCACAUGGGUCAGUGGGACCAAGCAGCACUCUGCUAAUGUGUGGACUCUGACCAGCAACAUCCAGCAAGACCCAGGCAGCGUUUUCUAUCUCCCAGCUGGAGUUUUGUUUGUGACGGGAGAGUCAGAUUUUUGUUGAAGCUGGAGGAACAGCCUCACACUUGCAGAGGUUAAUACACGCUACUGAUCCCUGAUGGGAGAAUCAUCACCUCUGCCAACAAAGAAGCCUGGUGGAUGUUUGUUUGCAGUCUGAUGAUGGGACAUCAUGCUCUGCAUCUUCAAAUCUUUUUGCAGGAUCAGAAAACAAAACCAGGAGGCCUGUAAAUGUUUCUUCUCCAAUUGGAUGAUGAUAAGACUGUGACAUGGGAUGCCACCUUUAGUCUUGUGAUGAAGCAAAGCUCAGGAAGAAGUGUGAUUAAAUGGUACCCACAUGUGUGCUGCUGAGAAGGAUGUACAGGGGCACCUGCAGCCAAAUCCAAGCCGCCUCAGCAACUUCAGGUCUGUCAGCGUGCUGAGGUCACAGAAACAAGAAAAGCAGCUUGACUUCAGAGUGUUGUUUACAGUUUUCUGUCAUCAUGAUCUCCCCUGAAGUUUAUCACUAUUAUACAAGCAGGUCGCAGGGGGCGCUGGAGCCUAUCCCAGCUGUCAUAGGGCGAGAGGCGGGGUACACCCUGGACAGGUCGCCAGUCUGUCGCAGGGCCAACACACAGAGACAGACAACCAUUCACACUCACAUUCACUCGCACAUUCACACCUAGUGACAAUUUGGAUUAUCCAAUUAACCUAUCCCCACAAGCUGCAUGUCUUUGGACAGUGGGAGGAAGCCGGAGUACCCGGAGGGAACCCACGCAAACACGGGGAGAACAUGCAAACUCCACACAGAAAGACCCCGGCCUGAUGGUGGAAUUGAACUCAGGACCUUCUUGCUGUGCGGCAACAGUGCUAACCACCGUGCCACCACAUGCAGCUUGUGGGGAUAGGUUAAUUGGAUAAUCCAAAUUGUCACUAGGUGUGAAUGUGAGUGUGAAUGGUUGUCUGUCCUUGUGUGUUGGCCCUGCGACAGAAUGGCGACCUGUACCCCGCCUCUCGCCCUAUGAUAGCUGGGAUAGGCUCCAGCGCCCCCCGUGACCCUGAAAAGGAUAAGCAGAAGCAAAUGGAUGGAUGGACUGUAUUAAGCACAAAUCCUAUAAAAAGCAAAAAUCCUAUAUUAAGCAAUAUAAAAAUCCUAUAAAAAG